CGGGGGGAGCAAGCGUUGUUCGGAUUUACUGGGCGUAAAGGGCGCGUAGGCGGCCACCGCAAGUCGACUGUGAAAUCUCCGGGCUUAACCCGGAAAGGUCAGCCGAUACUGCGGGGCUAGAGCGCAGAAGGGGCAACUGGAAUUCUCGGUGUAGCGGUGAAAUGCGUAGAUAUCGAGAGGAACACCUGCGGCGAAGGCGGGUUGCUGGGCUGACACUGACGCUGAUGCGCGAAAGCUAGGGGAGCGAACGGGAUUAGAUACCCCGGUAGUCCUAGCCUUAAACGAUGAAUGCUUGGUGUCUGGGGUUUUAUAGUCCCCGGGUGCCGUCGCUAACGCUUUAAGCAUUCCGCCUGGGGAGUACGGUCGCAAGACUG
rnacentral:rRNA from 1 species